AUACGUAGGUGGCGAGCGUUGUCCGGAAUUACUGGGCGUAAAGGAUGCGUAGGUGGAUACUUAAGUGGGAUGCGAAAUCCCCGGGCUCAACCCGGGAACUGCAUUCCAAACUGGGUAUCUAGAGUGCAGGAGAGGAAAGCGGGAUUCCUAGUGUAGCGGUGAAAUGGGUAGAUAUUAGGAGGAACACCAGUGGCGAAGGCGGCUUUCUGGACUGUAACUGACACUGAGGCAUGAAAGCGUGGGUAGCAAACAGGAUUAGAUACCCUGGUAGUCCACGCCGUAAACGAUGGGUACUAGGUGUAGGAGGUAUCGACCCCUUCUGUGCCGUCGUUAACACAAUAAGUACCCCGCCUGGGGAGUACGGUCGCAAGACUAAAACUUAAAGGAAUUGACGGGG
rnacentral:rRNA from 1 species